AAUGAAAUUCAUUCAGUAAAUAUUUAUUGAGUACCUACAGUGUGCUAGGUACCCUUCUAGAUUUUGGGGAGUCAACAGUGAACAAAACAAAGUCACCUACCUUCAUGGUGCUUCUUUGUUUUUUACUUCCUUCCCUCCCACUUCCUCUUCUUUUUCAUUUUCCCUUAUUCCCCUUCUUCCUUCUUUAGCUUAGAUAGUAAAUAGACAGAGAGAGGUGUAUGGUGCAUAUAAACAGGAGUUGUUAAGAUCAUGAUUAUGAAAAGUAGCUGGUCACUUCACAAACCGAAUAGAAUUAGCUAGGUAUUUGUAACAACUGCUAUCUUGAUUAUGUUUAUUUGUAAGUUCCCUUACUAGAUAAGAAAAAAUUGCAAAUACUUUGUAAGCCCUUUAGACAUUUUAAUGUAAGAAAACAAAAACAAAACAAAAAAAACCCUUAAGAGUAGUUUAUUUUGGAGUACUCCUGGCGCCACAGCGCUGGCCGGGUCGGGUGGGAACUGGAGACCAGUGAUUUUCCAAAUGAUACCUGUGAUUCCCUGCGCCCUCGUGUAUGGAGCGUUUGCCAAGGGUGACCCUUCUUUUAUUUAAAGAUGUAAAAAAUGCUGCUGGCUUGAGAAAAAAGGCUAUGGAAGGUGCCAUUGAUGGCUCAUUAAUAAACCCUGCAGUGAUUGUUGAUCCAUUUCAGAUAAUUGUGGCCGCAAACAAAGCAGUUCACCUCUACAAACUGGGGAAAAUGAAGACAAGAAAUCUAUCCACUGAAGUUAUUUUCAAUCUUUCCCCAAAUAACAAUAUUUCAGAGGCCUUGAAAAAAUUUGGUAUCUCAGCAAAUGAUACUUCGGUUUUGAUUGCUUAUAUUGAAGAGGGUGAAAAACAAAUAAAUCAAGAAUACCUAAUAUCUCAGGUAGAAGGUCAUCAGGUUCCUCUGAAAAGUCUCCCCGAAAUAACAAAUAUUACGGAAGUCAAAAAGGUAUAUAAACUAUCUUCACAAGAAGAAAGUAUUGGAACAUUAUUGGAUGGUAUAAUUUGUAGAAUGUCAACAAAAGAUGUUUUGUGAAAUGACAGAAAUAUUAAAAAAUUUUCAGCUUUUAUA